GCCCUGCGACGCCCGCGUCGCCACGCUGCUACGCGCCUCCGGUCGGUUCGCCGGCAAGGUUCACGACUCCGGCCAGCUGCUUCUCGUCGCCUGGUCGCCGGCCGCCUCGCCAGGUACUUCUUUUGGCCGGAAGGGUUUCUAAGAGGAAGCAUCAAGAACAGUUCCAGGAUGAGCAAUCAUUUGGUUUCCGGCUUGACUUCUCAUCAGAGAUGAAUAAUUAGCAGCGAGUGAUUAACAUUCCAACAUACAACUCACAUCUCGAAGG